UUUAUUUUUAUAAUUUCCUUCUAUUGUUGGCAUAUCGAAUGCAUUGUGUUUCACUUCCAAACUUAAUCCAAUUCAUUCUCACUUUUCAUUUUCAACAUAAUAACCUUCAUAGGUAGAUAUUAAAGGUUACCUCUGUUUUUUUUUUCUUUUUUUUGCAUAUUCCAAACAUCAAUAUUAAAUUAUUGCAAUGCUCCACUCGAUCAUCUUGCUCAUAAGGCAGGUUGUAUCUGUAAAGGGAAAGUGCAUUGGCUCAACAGCCCCAAGGUGUACAAACACACCACAUUUUCCAGACUAUAAGUCACACUAUCCUAAUAGCAGGGUGGCACUAAAUUUCUCAGGAA